rnacentral:misc_RNA from 1 species
UAGCUGUAGGUGAACCUGCAGCUGGAUCACUAACGAUUCAAUGUUCCUAUGCCUUUGUAAUAAGCAAGGUGCGAGAUACUUGCUUAGCGAGUUCCGUCUGACCACGCUCCAUGCGAGAGGAGAAGGUUGGACCGCAAAUACAAAACGGCCAUGCAGGUUUCUGUCGCACACGUUGAGCAGUUGUGACUGUCCGUGACUGCUAUGAUACAGUGCGAGUGCGCUUCGAGCGAAGAAUUAAAGAGCACACGCUAGGUGCCGCCUGCCGAUUACCCUAUUUUUUAUUAUUUUCAUUUAAAGAAUAUCAGUCUUAUCGGUGGAUCACUCGGUUCGU